rnacentral:rRNA from 1 species
CCUUUUGUUUAUUUAUUUAAGGUCUGACCUGCCCAAUGAGGAAUUCAAUGGCCGCAGUAUUUUAACUGUGCUAAGGUAGCAUAAUCAUUUGUCUUUUAAUUGAGGGCUGGAAUGAAAGGUUGGACGAGAUAUUAACUUUCUUUAAUUUAAUUUUAAGAAUUUAAUUUUUGAGUUAAAAAGCUUAAAUUUAUUUGUUGGACGAGAAGACCCUAUAGAUCUUUAUAAUUUUAUAUUUUGAUAAUUUGGUGAUUUUAUUUAUUGUAAGUAGAAGAAUUAUUUUGUUGGGGUGACUGUAGAAUUUUAUUAACUUCUAUUAUUUUUAUUUCAUUGAUUGAUGUUUUUUUGAUCCAUAUAUUUAUGAUUAAAAGAUUAAG